UCGGCAUACUGCUCAGUAACACGUGGAUAACCUGCCCUGUGCUCCGGGAUAACCUCGGGAAACUGAGAAUAAUACCGGAUAGUCCACCACGCCUGGAACGGUGGGUGGAUCAAAGGUCACGGCACAGGAUGGGUCUGCGGCGUAUCAGGUUGUAGGGGGUGUAAAGACCCCCUAGCCAUUGACGCGUACGGGUUGUGGGAGCAAUCGCCCGGAGAUGGAUUCUGAGACACGAAUCCAGACCCUACGGGGUGCAGCAGGCGCGAAAACUUCACACUGCAGGAAACUGUGAUGAGGGAACUCCAAGUGCAUGCACAAUGUGUAUGCUUUUCCUAACUUUUAAUCGGUUAGGGAAUAAGGGCUGGGAAAGACCGGUGCCAGCCGCCGCGGUAAAUACCGGCAGCUCAAGUGGUCGUCGCUUUUAUUGGGCCUAAAACGUCCGUAGCCUGUUUGGUAAAUCUGUGGGUAAAUCAACCAGCUUAACUGGUUGAAUUCUGCAGAGACUGCCAGACUAGGGACCGGGAGAGGUGUGGGGUACUCUCGGGGGUAAGGGUAAAAUCCUGUCA
rnacentral:rRNA from 1 species